GUUCAUUUCAGUAGCACAUAUGCUAAAAUUAAAACAUUAAGGAGAAAAUUACAAUUGUCCCUGCAUAAUCAUAAAAUGCAAACUUGUGAAGCAUUCCAUGUUUUU